ensembl:lncRNA
AAGCAAAACCAUGGACGAUGUAAAUGCUGUGAACAUGAUCGUACUGGUUUGGGCAUAUGCAUUUGUCUGUGAAGCCAUUAAUGAGUCUGGUGGAGAUAAAACUGUGGACACUGUUAAGAAAGGUGAAGCAAAGCUGACUACAUCUGAGAUCACUGUCACCGCUGGUGCCAUAAUCAUCUCCAUCAUCAUGUUAAUCAUUUAUAGGAAUUACAAUCCCACAAACCUUUGUCUAUAUGUCUCUUAGACUAUAAAACAGCUGAUUCUGCCACAAAAGAUGAUGAGAACAGUAAAUAGUCUGAAAGAGCAUCUUAACAACAUCGCAGGACUGUGUAGCAGUUGUGUUUCACAUCCAGUGCAGGUCACAAGGCUUUGAAUACGUUUAUUGUUGCACUGGUCGCCAACAGCAGUGUUGUUAAAAGUGUACAGAGGACUCAUAACUAUGAAUGUUACUGGGCCUAUACUGAGUGUGCUCUUGUCUUAAGCUGUAUGUUCUGUUUCAUAUUGAUUUCUGUGAAAAAACACAAUGCUAUAGAUUUGUUUGAUCAGAGUGCUUUAUAUUAAGUGAACUUGUGCACUCUCAGAAAAAAGGUACAAGCUGUCACUGUGGCGGUACUUUAUUUACACCUACUUGUUGCAUAUUAGUAGCUUUCAUAUUAAUACCUAAA